rnacentral:lncRNA from 1 species
GUCAAAGCUGCCUCUGGGAUCCUGAAAUCCUGGUGUGACCAAGCUCCUGAGGUCCUGUAAUCCUAUGGUCUUGGGAAGGAAACGUAAAGGUUUGCCUUGCCACCUGACAAGUCUGUUGCUUCCCUUCCUGUAUGUGCAGUGACACACUCUCAGCACAGCCUCCUAGGAAUUCUAGAGACUGGUCCAUUGCCUCUGCACAGCAUCUGCAUCCACAGAGACAGAGGGACUGAAGCGACACCCUUGCAGAAGUGGUCAUCCUUGUCCAUCGGGCAGUAGCCAUGACUGUGGCUGUUAGUGGUUCCUAGGUGCUUUCUCUUCCUGUUGGCUCCACACUCUGGAACAGUAGCCUCCAAAGUCCCAUGAUGGGAUGUGAAGGGAGCUGCACACUUCCUUCACCCCUACCCAUUUACAACCAGGUUCUUCUGGGAUUCCUUAUUGAAACAAACACAUGAGAAAUGGUGUAAACAAACCUCACUUUUAGACAUUCCCAGGGUUUAGGCCUCAUCUCUUCCAACAUUAAAGAUGAUGACAUCAGCCUCAUUU